rnacentral:rRNA from 1 species
AUGACCCACAAAGCUGAUGCCCCAUUCUUGAAUACCUCAAUGGAAUACUAUCAUGUCAUGUCUUCCAUUUAUGGGACAACCGGGGCUAAGGGGCUGAAUGCUAGGUCUGGUAAUGAUCUUCUUUCUAUUAAUCACGAAGGCGAGGAGAAUGGUGAGGUUAACACAUCACCAAAUGUUGUUGAGUCUUCUCACCCCAAAGCACCACCCAAAAAGAAGGCCAAGGUAAAGCGCGUUGUUGAUGAUCCACUAGUUAUCACUCUCAAAGAUGGGUUCAAACUUGUGGCUGGAGCGCUUGUGAAGUCUAGUGGAGAUGAUGAUGAUGAUAUACCCGAUGACCUUUGGGAUGAAGUCUCCACAUUGCCAGAUUUUGAUGAAGAGCACCUAGCCCACUAG